ACGCACGUGAAACAAUAACGAACGAUAGUAAAAUGACUCGUAGAAACUGCUCUUAAGCUCUAAGAUCAAUCAUUAUCGAGAAACGCAGCCCUGAAAGUUUUUAGUUGA